rnacentral:rRNA from 1 species
AGAGAACUUUCCAGAGAUGGAUUGGUGCCUUCGGGAACUCUGACACAGGUGCUGCAUGGCUGUCGUCAGCUCGUGUCGUGAGAUGUUGGGUUAAGUCCCGUAACGAGCGCAACCCUUGUCCUUAGUUACCAGCACGUUAUGGUGGGCACUCUAAGGAGACUGCCGGUGGACAAACCGGAAGGAAGGUGGGGAGUGACGUCAAGUCAUCAUGGCCCUUACGGCCUGGGCUACACACGUGCUACAAUGGUCGGUACAAAGGGUUGCCAAGCCGCGAGGUGGAGCUAAUCCCAUAAAACCGAUCGUAGUCCGGAUCGCAGUCUGCAACUCGACUGCGUGAAGUCGGAAUCGCUAGUAAUCGUGAAUCAGAAUGUCACGGUGAAUACGUUCCCGGGCCUU